GUCCAGACCGGACGGUCAGACAGACUCCUGCUCAGCAAGGGAGCCCAGCAGCAGCCUGCACCGAACCAACAACCUUCUCUUUCAAUGGUGGUGAUCCAAAUCAGUGUGGAGCAGAAUGCACCAUAGAGAUGUACAACUCUCCUGUUGAACACCUCAAGACUGAAGACUGCAAGGAAAGAAUGCUAAUCUACAGCGAGCAUCUGAAGAACAACAUGCCAGUCCUCCAGCACAUUGAUCCAAAACCUGUUCCAGUUCCUCAGACACUGUCAGAGACUGUUUUGAAAGCCCUUUACUAUCAAUCUGGAUAAAAAGAAACUUUGGCAACCACUGCAAGUAUCAAGUGUUUUAAAUUUUGUUUGACUGUUUAUUAUGUACUUAUUUGUUUUUAGUUGUAUUAAGUUUGAUAUUAAUUAGAUCAGUGCCUUUUUAGUCAUUAAUUUGAUUAUUAAGUAUUAAUUGUUUAAGGCAGCACGGUGGUACGGUGGUUAGCACUGUUGCUGCUCAGCAAGAAGGUCCUGAGUUCAAUUCCACCAUCAGGCCGGGGUCUUUCUGUGUGGAGUUUGCAUGUUCUCCCCAUGUUUGCGUGGGUUCCCUCCGAGUACUCUGGCUUCCUCCCACCGUCCAAAGACAUGCAGUUUGUGGGGAUAGGUUAAUUGAUUAAUCCAAAUUGCCCAUAGGUGUAAAUGUGAGUGUGAAUGGUUGUCUGUCCCUGUGUGUUAGCCCUGUGACAGACUGGCGACUUGUCCAGGGUGUACCCCGCCUCUCGCCCUAUGACAGCUGGGAUAGGCUCCAGCGCCGCGACCCUGAAAAAGGAUAAGUAGAAGCGAAUGGAUGGAUGGAAGUUAACUAUUUAAUUUAAUCAUUGUCUCUACUGGUUUUUAUUAAUGUUUCUAGCAAAUUAUGACAAAAAGUCAAAGAAUGUAAGUUUUAUGCCAGUUAGCCCUAUUAUGUUUAUUACCUCAUUUGUUGGACCUUAAUUUUUUUAGACG